GACAGAGGCCUCAAGCGUUAGGCGGAAUCACUGGGCUUAAAGCGUGUGUAGGCGGGUCGUUAAGUACCUUGUGAAAUCCCACGGCUCACCCGUGGAACUGCUGGGUAUACUGGCGAUCUUGGGCCAACUAGGGGCAACUGGAACAAACGGUGGAGCGGUGAAAUGCGUUGAGAUCGGAAGGAACGCCCGUGGCGAAAGCGAGAUCCUGGACGUUUUCUGACGCUGAGACGCGAAAGCUAGGGGAGCAAACGGG
rnacentral:rRNA from 1 species